CGCGUAGGCGGCUCGGUAAGUCUGGAGUGAAAGUCCUGCUUUUAAGGUGGGAAUUGCUUUGGAUACUGUCGGGCUUGAGUGCAGGAGAGGUUAGUGGAAUUCCCAGUGUAGCGGUGAAAUGCGUAGAGAUUGGGAGGAACACCAGUGGCGAAGGCGACUAACUGGACUGUAACUGACGCUGAGGCGCGAAAGUGUGGAGAAGCAAACA
rnacentral:rRNA from 1 species